rnacentral:rRNA from 1 species
GAGUAGCUAUGAUCGGACAGGAUAACCGCUGAAGGCAUCUAAGCGGGAAGCCCCCCCAGAAACAAGGUCUCCCUUGAGGGCCGUGGAAGACCACCACGUCGAUAGGUCGGAGAUGUAAGUGCUGUAAAGCAUUCAGUUGACCGAUACUAAUUGCCCGAUAGGCUUGAUUUG